rnacentral:rRNA from 1 species
AAUCAACGCUGGCGGCGCGCUUAACACAUGCAAGUCGAACGAGAAAGCGGGAGCAAUCCCGCAAGUACAGUGGCGUACGGGUGAGUAACACGUGGGUGAUCUACCUCAUAGUGGGGAAUAACGCUGGGAAACCGGCGCUAAUACCGCAUAAGCCUGCUCCUUCGGUGGAGCAAGGAAAGUCGCAAGACGCUGUGAGAGGAGCCCGCGGCCGAUUAGCCAGUUGGUGGGGUAAUGGCCUACCAAAGCAUAGAUCGGUAGCCGGCCUGAGAG